GUGAGGUUCCCUGCUCAGCUCCUGGGGCUGCUAAUGCUUUGGGUUCCUGGAUCCUGUGGGAAUAUUGUGAUGACCCAGACUCCACUCUCUCUGCCCGUCACCAAUGGAGAGCCGGCCUCCAUCUCCUGCAGGUCUAGUCAGAACCUUUUACAUGGUAAUGGAUACACCUAUUUGUAUUAGUUCCUGCAGAAGCCAGGCCACUCUCCACAGCUCCUGAUCUGUAGGACUUCCAAUCAGUUUUCUGCCUUCCCACACAGGUUCUCCCCAAUGGGAGGAGAGAGUAGACCAGUCAUCCCCAGAUAUAUCACAGGACUAGUUUCAACCUUUGGAAGCUGGUCUAUAUCCUAUGGUUAAAUAGGCAUUUGUGAUACGACCUGAAAUACAUUUGGACAAGAACUUCACUAACAAUUGAGUCACUGAAGACUUAUGGCCCUGUGUGACGCACCACAUAACCGUGAGUUUGCAGUGGUUGCAGGUCAGGGACAGAUUUUAUGCUUAAGAUCAGUAGGGUGGAGGCUGAGGAUCUUGGCUAUUACAACUGCCACCACACUCUACAAUAUCCU